rnacentral:snRNA from 1 species
GAGCGUGGAGGCCACCUGGCAUCCAUCACUGCUUGGUUGCAGGGUUGUUUUGGAUGAUGUGGCUGGCUAGGCGGGUAUCUGCGUCCUCUAUCGCCACUCCUUAUGUGUCCCUCCAAAGCCGUCCACUUGGUUGAGAAGCACUGUUUUUUUGGUCUAGGGUGUACUGUAGCUGGGCUUCCCUGCUAAGAACCUCAAAGCAAGUUCUCUAACCACACAAACAGGACUGGGCAGACAGCUCAGUCAUUAAUUGUUUGCCUCACAAGCAUGAGGGCGUCAGUUUGAU